rnacentral:rRNA from 1 species
UACGGGGGGGGUAAGCGUUGUUCGGAAUUACUGGGCGUAAAGGGCUCGUAGGCGGCCAACUAAGUCAGACGUGAAAUCCCUCAGCUUAACUGGGGAACUGCGUCUGAUACUGGAUGGCUUGGAUUCGGGAGAGGAAUGCGGAAUUCCAGGUGUAGCGGUGAAAUGCGCAGAUAUCAGGAGGAACAUCCGUGGCGAAGGCGGCUCUCUGGGACGGUACUGACGCUGAGACGCGAAAGCGUGGGGAGCGAACAGG